UUAAGCGACUAAGCGUACACGGUGGAUGCCCUGGCAGUCAGAGGCGAUGAAGGACGUGCUAAUCUGCGAUAAGCGUCGGUAAGGUGAUAUGAACCGUUAUAACCGGCGAUUUCCGAAUGGGGAAACCCAGUGUGAUUCGUCACACUAUCAUUAACUGAAUCCAUAGGUUAAUGAGGCGAACCGGGGGAACUGAAACAUCUAAGUACCCCGAGGAAAAGAAAUCAACCGAGAUUCCCCCAGUAGCGGCGAGCGAACGGGGAGCAGCCCAGAGCCUGAAUCAGUGUGUGUGUUAGUGGAAGCGUCUGGAAAGGCGCGCGAUACAGGGUGACAGCCCCGUACACAAAAAUGCACAUACUGUGAGCUCGAUGAGUAGGGCGGGACACGUGGUAUCCUGUCUGAAUAUGGGGGGACCAUCCUCCAAGGCUAAAUACUCCUGACUGACCGAUAGUGAACCAGUACCGUGAGGGAAAGGCGAAAAGAACCCCGGCGAGGGGAGUGAAAAAGAACCUGAAACCGUGUACGUACAAGCAGUGGGAGCACGCUUCGGCGUGUGACUGCGUACCUUUUGUAUAAUGGGUCAGCGACUUAUAUUCUGUAGCAAGGUUAACCGAAUAGGGGAGCCGAAGGGAAACCGAGUCUUAACUGGGCGUUAAGUUGCAGGGUAUAGACCCGAAACCCGGUGAUCUAGCCAUGGGCAGGUUGAAGGUUGGGUAACACUAACUGGAGGACCGAACCGACUAAUGUUGAAAAAUUAGCGGAUGACUUGUGGCUGGGGGUGAAAGGCCAAUCAAACCGGGAGAUAGCUGGUUCUCCCCGAAAGCUAUUUAGGUAGCGCCUCGUGAAUUCAUCUCCGGGGGUAGAGCACUGUUUCGGCAAGGGGGUCAUCCCGACUUACCAACCCGAUGCAAACUGCGAAUACCGGAGAAUGUUAUCACGGGAGACACACGGCGGGUGCUAACGUCCGUCGUGAAGAGGGAAACAACCCAGACCGCCAGCUAAGGUCCCAAAGUCAUGGUUAAGUGGGAAACGAUGUGGGAAGGCCCAGACAGCCAGGAUGUUGGCUUAGAAGCAGCCAUCAUUUAAAGAAAGCGUAAUAGCUCACUGGUCGAGUCGGCCUGCGCGGAAGAUGUAACGGGGCUAAACCAUGCACCGAAGCUGCGGCAGCGACACUAUGUGUUGUUGGGUAGGGGAGCGUUCUGUAAGCCUGUGAAGGUGUACUGUGAGGUAUGCUGGAGGUAUCAGAAGUGCGAAUGCUGACAUAAGUAACGAUAAAGCGGGUGAAAAGCCCGCUCGCCGGAAGACCAAGGGUUCCUGUCCAACGUUAAUCGGGGCAGGGUGAGUCGACCCCUAAGGCGAGGCCGAAAGGCGUAGUCGAUGGGAAACAGGUUAAUAUUCCUGUACUUGGUGUUACUGCGAAGGGGGGACGGAGAAGGCUAUGUUGGCCGGGCGACGGUUGUCCCGGUUUAAGCGUGUAGGCUGGUUUUCCAGGCAAAUCCGGAAAAUCAAGGCUGAGGCGUGAUGACGAGGCACUACGGUGCUGAAGCAACAAAUGCCCUGCUUCCAGGAAAAGCCUCUAAGCAUCAGGUAACAUCAAAUCGUACCCCAAACCGACACAGGUGGUCAGGUAGAGAAUACCAAGGCGCUUGAGAGAACUCGGGUGAAGGAACUAGGCAAAAUGGUGCCGUAACUUCGGGAGAAGGCACGCUGAUAUGUAGGUGAAGCGACUUGCUCGUGGAGCUGAAAUCAGUCGAAGAUACCAGCUGGCUGCAACUGUUUAUUAAAAACACAGCACUGUGCAAACACGAAAGUGGACGUAUACGGUGUGACGCCUGCCCGGUGCCGGAAGGUUAAUUGAUGGGGUUAGCGGUAACGCGAAGCUCUUGAUCGAAGCCCCGGUAAACGGCGGCCGUAACUAUAACGGUCCUAAGGUAGCGAAAUUCCUUGUCGGGUAAGUUCCGACCUGCACGAAUGGCGUAAUGAUGGCCAGGCUGUCUCCACCCGAGACUCAGUGAAAUUGAACUCGCUGUGAAGAUGCAGUGUACCCGCGGCAAGACGGAAAGACCCCGUGAACCUUUACUAUAGCUUGACACUGAACAUUGAGCCUUGAUGUGUAGGAUAGGUGGGAGGCUUUGAAGUGUGGACGCCAGUCUGCAUGGAGCCGACCUUGAAAUACCACCCUUUAAUGUUUGAUGUUCUAACGUUGGCCCGUGAUCCGGGUUGCGGACAGUGUCUGGUGGGUAGUUUGACUGGGGCGGUCUCCUCCUAAAGAGUAACGGAGGAGCACGAAGGUUGGCUAAUCCUGGUCGGACAUCAGGAGGUUAGUGCAAUGGCAUAAGCCAGCUUGACUGCGAGCGUGACGGCGCGAGCAGGUGCGAAAGCAGGUCAUAGUGAUCCGGUGGUUCUGAAUGGAAGGGCCAUCGCUCAACGGAUAAAAGGUACUCCGGGGAUAACAGGCUGAUACCGCCCAAGAGUUCAUAUCGACGGCGGUGUUUGGCACCUCGAUGUCGGCUCAUCACAUCCUGGGGCUGAAGUAGGUCCCAAGGGUAUGGCUGUUCGCCAUUUAAAGUGGUACGCGAGCUGGGUUUAGAACGUCGUGAGACAGUUCGGUCCCUAUCUGCCGUGGGCGCUGGAGAACUGAGGGGGGCUGCUCCUAGUACGAGAGGACCGGAGUGGACGCAUCACUGGUGUUCGGGUUGUCAUGCCAAUGGCACUGCCCGGUAGCUAAAUGCGGAAGAGAUAAGUGCUGAAAGCAUCUAAGCACGAAACUUGCCCCGAGAUGAGUUCUCCCUGACUCCCUGAGAGUCCUGAAGGAACGUUGAAGACGACGACGUUGAUAGGCCGGGUGUGUAAGCGCAGCGAUGCGUUGAGCUAACCGGUACUAAUGAACCGUGAGGCUUAACCUU
rnacentral:rRNA from 1 species